rnacentral:lncRNA from 1 species
CGCCGUCGUCUCACUUGCAGGUGCAGGGGUCGCAGGUGCAGUUGGCGCCGCACUUGCACCCGCCAUUCUCAGCUCCGGCGGCCGCCUCGAACCCGCCCUUGGAUGGUGCAACACCCAUGAUGACAGUCUGGGUGGUGGUCACCUGCUCUGCCAUGUCCGGGUACAUCUUGCACCUGCAUACAGAGAGACAGAUCGAUGAGCACGACGGGGGAAAAAACCAUACAUACCAUACCCACCUAUGUGCAUGCAAUUGCAUUGCAUGCAUACUCCCUCCAAAAUCAAAGAUCCUACCACACAGCAGGUUGAUAAAAUCAUGACAUACUCUUAUCUUAUCUAUCUAUCUAUCCCCGCAGUAUUUUUUUAAAAAAAAACAAUAUCUAAAAGAUAACAACACAACAUUUCUACGCAAGAACGAGGAACAGCCUGCCGGCAGCACAGGUCCGACCGUGUGAAUAUUGAAGGCGCUACUAGACGGAAACGGAGCCAUGGAACAGCAGAUCCGACUGCGAGGGAGGAACGCAACGGAACGGAACGGCAGUGCAGUGCGGUGCAGGCUUACCCUC